rnacentral:misc_RNA from 1 species
GAUGAAGAACGCAGCGAAAUGCGAUAAGUAAUGUGAAUUGCAGAAUUCAGUGAAUCAUCGAAUCUUUGAACGCACAUUGCGCCCUUUGGUAUUCCAAAGGGCAUGCCUGUUCGAGCGUCAUUUGUACCCUCAAGCUUUGCUUGGUGUUGGGCGUUUUUGUCUUUGGCCCGCCAAAGACUCGCCUUAAAAUGAUUGGCAGCCGGCCUACUGGUUUCGCAGCGCAGCACAUUUUUGCGCUUGCAAUCAGCAAAAGAGGACGGCAAUCCAUCAAGACUCCUUCUCACGUUUGACCUCGGAUCAGGUAGGGAUACCCGCUGAACUUAAGCAUAUCAAUAAGCGGAGGA